GGGAGGGUGACGUCUAUAAUAUUAUAGACGUUGGUGCCCCUAGAAACUGACGUCCAUAUGUCUGACAGGUAAGUGAAAAGUCAUUUUUUUCUGUCAUAUAGACGUCAGUGCCCCUCCUACCCGACGUCUAUAGUUUGACAGGUAGGUGAAAAGUUAAUUUUUUCUGCCAUCUAGACAUCUGAUCCUGCCACCUGACGUCUAUAUGCGAUUAUAGACCUC
rnacentral:lncRNA from 1 species